CCUACGGGAGGCAGCAGUGAGGAAUAUUGGUCAAUGGUCGCAAGACUGAACCAGCCAUGCCGCGUGUAGGAUGAAGCAUCUAUGGUGUGUAAACUACUUUUGUACGGGAAGAAACACUCCCUCGUGAGGGAGCUCGACGGUACCGUAAGAAUAAGGAUCGGCUAACUCCGUGCCAGCAGCCGCGGUAAU
rnacentral:rRNA from 1 species